rnacentral:rRNA from 1 species
AGCGAACGCUGGCGGCAGGCUUAACACAUGCAAGUCGAACGGAUCCUUCGGGAUUAGUGGCGGACGGGUGAGUAACACGUGGGAACGUGCCUUUUGGUUCGGAACAACACAGGGAAACUUGUGCUAAUACCGGAUGUGCCCUUCGGGGAAAGAUUUAUCGCCAUUAGAGCGGCCCGCGUCUGAUUAGCUUGUUGGUGAGGUAAAGGCUCACCAAGGCUACGAUCAGUAGCUGGCUGAGAGGACGAUCAGCCACACUGGGACUGAGACACGGCCCAGACUCCUACGGGAGGCAGCAGUGGGGAAUCUUGCGCAAUGGGCGAAAAGCCUGACGCAGCGACGCCGCGUGGGGGAAGAAGGCUUUCGGGUUGUAAA